AGGGUAGUGCAGCUUUUUGGUAUAACUUGGAAUUAAAUGGGAUAUAGACCAACGCAUGUUGCAUGCUGGAUGUCCUGUUCUUGUUGGUUAUAAAUGGGUGAGUAACAAGUGGAUUAGAGAACGUGGACAGAUGUUUAAAAGACCAUGCGGAUUGAAAAAGAAAUCAAAAGAAAGAAGACUAUGGAAUUUGUAUUAAAAGAGUCUACUUGUUUAUGCUUUAUAUGAUUUAUUAAAAAAAAAGUAUCAGUUUUCAUUAUUCACACCUAUUUGCUACUGAAAUAUGUAAAAUUAUCAUUAAACAAAUAUAACAUUGA